rnacentral:lncRNA from 1 species
AACCUCUUCUACAGAAAUUUUUAGAGCAAGUGGUAAAGGGUUUGGUGAUUAGUACCCAAGAUUUUAAGUUCGAAUUCUAGUUGAUUCACAUUUCUAGUUAAGUUUAGUUUUUAAUGAAAUAAAUAAAGCGGGAACGAAACGGGUAACGUGCUACCUAUCUCUCACAAAGAAAAAAAAAGAAAAUAAAAUUAAAAAGAAAAAUAGUGUGUUGCAGAGAGAAAUUAAGGAGGGGAGCGGAUGGAAAAGUACUGAUGGAACGUCUUUGUCGGUCACAUCGUCG